ensembl:lncRNA
GGAGAGAAGGAGAGAAGGAGCGAGGUGAGAAGGAGAGAGGUGAGAAGGAGAGAGGAGAGAAGGAAGAAGGAGCGAGGUGAGAAGGAGAGAAGGAGCGAGGUGAGAAGGAGUGAGGAGAGAAGGAGAGAGGAUAGAAGGAGUGAGGAGAGAAGGAGUGAGGAGAGAAGGAGUGAGGUGAGAAGGAGCGAGGUGAGAAGGAGUGAGGUGAGAAGGAGAGAGGAGAGAAGGAGCGACGUGGAGCGAGGAGAAAAGGAGCGAGGUGAGAAGGAGUGAGGAGAGAAGGAGAGAAGAGAGAAGGAGUGAGGAGAGAAGGAGGGAGGAGAGAAGGAGAGAAG